rnacentral:rRNA from 1 species
AAUGGAGAGUUUGAUCCUGGCUCAGGACGAACGCUGGCGGCGUGCUUAAUACAUGCAAGUCAAGGAGAACGUUUUCUUCGGAAAACUAUUAAACUGGCGAACGGGUGAGUAACACGUAGGCAACCUGCCUUGGAGAUGGGGAUAACCUCGGGAAACCGGGACUAAUACCGAAUAAUGCAGCGGCUUCUUUGGAAGAUGUUGUUAAAGCGGGCUUCGGCUCGCACUUCAAGAUGGGCCUGCGUCCGAUUAGCUUGUUGGUAAGGUAACGGCUUACCAAGGCGAUGAUCGGUAGCUGGUCUGAGAGGAUGAUCAGCCACACUGGGAUUGAGAUACGGCCCAGACUCC